rnacentral:lncRNA from 1 species
CGAAGCUUGAGCUGAGGAGAGUCCGGAUAUGCCCUCCGAUCAUCCAUCCCUCGCCAGAAAAGCCAUAAACCGCGGCUGCCAUCCAUUUUCUCUCUCCACUGCGAACUCCGGCCACCAAAAAUAGUGGCUACCGACGCCGGAAAUGCCAUGAACAGCGCCGGACAGCCACUGUAUCAUCUUUAUCCCUUUUUUUUCUCUCUUCGCGCUGUCGCCGCCACGAACUGGAGCUGCUGCCGACGAACGGCAGCUGCCCUCUCUCCCUCAUUCCUCUUCUUUUCCC